UACAGAGGGUGCAAGCGUUGUUCGGAAUUAUUGGGCGUAAAGCGCGUGUAGGCGGCUUUGCAAGUCGGGUGUGAAAGCCCUCAGCUCAACCGAGGAACUGCCCUCCAAACUGCUUCGCUUGAGACCGGGAGAGGUGAGUGGAAUUCCCAGUGUAGCGGUGAAAUGCGUAGAUAUUGGGAGGAACACCAGUGGCGAAGGCGGCUCACUGGACCGGUACUGACGCUGAUGCGCGAAAGCGUGGGGAGCAAACGGG
rnacentral:rRNA from 1 species